rnacentral:misc_RNA from 1 species
ACUAUGCUACCAGCUUAUGGAAUCUGGCAGAUAGAUCAACAUUGCAAAACUCUUGUUAUUACUUGAUUUCAUCGACCUAAGGUCUUGGCUUGAAGUGAGCAGUAUGUGUAUAUAUAUCUGAGAUCCGUGGAAUCCAAGUCCCAUAUCUAAUAUUCCACUGACCUGUAAAAUGGGUCAGUUUAAUCCAUACAAAUUUCUGCUCAUUAUCUUCCUUCUUUUCUCUAUUGCCAAAUCACCGUCAGCCGGAAAUGAACGUAGGACCUACAUCAUCCACAUGGACAAA